UUCCAGCUCCAAUAGCGUAUAUUAAAGUUGUUGCAGUUAAAAAGCUCGUAGUUGAAUUUUUGUCGUUAAAAACAAACAUAGCACUAUGUGUAUUGUAUUGUUUUUAUUGACAAUUCUCUUAAUAUUUUAUUUUAGCUUGCUAAAAUAAAAUGUUAGAGGUGUUACUUUGAGAAAAUUAGAGUGCUUCAAGCAGGCGUACUGCCCUGAAUACUCCAGCAUGGAAUAACAUGUAAGGACUAUGGUUCUUCUUGUUGGUUUAAGGACCAAGUAAUGAUUAAUAGGGACAGUUGGGGGCAUUCGUAUUUAGUAGCUAGAGGUGAAAUUCUUAGACCUACUAAAGACGAACUACUGCGAAAGCAUCUGCCAAGGAUGUUUUCAUUAAUCAAGAACGAAAGUUAAGGGAUCGAAGACGAUCAGAUACCGUCGUAGUCUUAACCAUAAACGAUGCCGACUAGAGAUUG
rnacentral:rRNA from 1 species